rnacentral:tRNA from 1 species
GCCCGAGUGGCGGAAUGGCAGACGCACUCGACUCAAAAUCGAGCGGGAAACCAUGCGAGUUCGACUCUCGCCUCGGGCA